GACGAACGCUGGCGGCGUGCCUAAUACAUGCAAGUAGAACGCAGUUGCGAACGGGUGAGUAACGCGUAGGUAACUGCCUCAUAGCGGGGGAUAACUAUUGGAAACGAUAGCUAAUACCGCAUACAGUGAGAUGGACCUGCGUUGUAUUAGCUAGUUGGGGAGGGAAAGGCUCACCAAGGCGACGAUACAUAGCCGAACUGAGAGGGUGAACGGCCCAACUGGGACGGAGACACGGCCCAGACUCUGAAGGGAGGCAGCAGUAGGGAAUCUUCGGAAAUGGACGGAAGUCUGACCGAGCAAAGCCGCGUGAGUGAAGAAGGUUUUCGGAUCGUAAAGCUCUGUUGUUAGAGAAGCAGUAACUAACCAGAAAGGGACGGCUAACUACGUGCCAGCAGCCGCGGUAAUUC
rnacentral:rRNA from 1 species